AUUGAACGCUGGCGGCAUGCUUUACACAUGUAAGUCGAACGGCAGCGCGGGCUUCGGCCUGGCGGCGAGUGGCGAACGGGUGAGUAAUGCAUCGGAACGUGCCCAGUAGUGGGGGAUAGCCCGGCGAAAGCCGGAUUAAUACCGCAUACGACCUGAGGGUGAAAGCGGGGGACCGAAAGGCCUCGCGCUAUUUGAGCGGCCGAUGUCGGAUUAGCUAGUUGGUGGGGUAAAGGCUUACCAAGGCGACGAUCCGUAGCUGGUCUGAGAGGACGACCAGCCACACUGGGACUGAGACACGGCCCAGACUCCUACGGGAGGCAGCAGUGGGGAAUUUUGGACAAUGGGGGCAAGCCUGAUCCAGCCAUGCCGCGUGCGGGAAGAAGGCCUUCGGGUUGUAAAACGCUUUUGUUCGGGAAGAAAUCCUCUGGGCUAAUACCCCGGGGGGAUGACGGUACCGGAAGAAUAAGCACCGGCUAACUACGUG
rnacentral:rRNA from 1 species